CUAAAAGUAUAUAUGAUGGGGUAUAAUACGCAAUCGUUGCUCUACAUUAUAGACGGUAGUACUAUCGCUCUCACUCUAUCUUCCACCAUUAACACCUCUCUCUCUAUAUCUAUCUCUUUUGUGGACCAGUCUUUACUCUCUCCAGCUUGGAAUUACAAAGAUCUUGAUAGCAUGGAGUACUCAAUCAAGGAUGACGUGACUCAAUUGAUAGGUAACACUCCAAUGGUGUACCUAAACAACAUUGUAGAUGGUUGCGUUGCACGUAUCGCUGCUAAGCUUGAGAUGAUGCAGCCUUGCUCUAGUGUCAAGGACAGAAUUGCUUAUGGAAUGAUUAAAGAUGCAGAAGACAAGGGACUCAUUUCUCCCGGCAAGAACAUAUUGAUUGAGCCAACAUCUGGUAACACCGGGAUUGGUAUAGCAAUGGUCGGAGCAGCUAGAGGUUACAAAGUUGUGAUUACAAUGCCUGCAUCAGUGAGCAUUGAGAGAAGAAUCGUACUUCUAGCAUUAGGUGCAGAGCUUCACCUCACUGAUCCAAGCAAAGGCGUUAUAGGAGUCAUUGUCAAAGCUGAAGAGAUAUUAAGCAAAACUCCAGAUGGUUUCAUGCUAGAGCAAUUCAGAAACCCUUCAAACCCACAAUCUCAUUAUGACACCACUGGUCCAGAGAUAUGGAGAGACUCUGCAGAGAAAGUAGAUAUGUUGGUUGUUGGUGUUGGGACUGGUGGAACGAUCUCUGGAGCAGGGAAGUUUCUCAAGGAGAAGAAUAAAGACUUUAAGGUUUAUGGGGUGGAACCUGCAGAGAGUGCUGUACUCAGUGGAGGGCAACCUGGUGAGUUAGUCUCUUUUUAGCACUCAAGCUUACAACUCUUGUUCUUGAGCAUUCAACUCUAAUAUUUAAAUAAACAAUCUUAUUAAUAUUAGAAGGCAACCUGGUCCACAUGGGAUCCAAGGUAUUGGAGCUGGACUCAUCCCAGACAACUUGGAUUUUAGCGUUCUUGAUGAAGUCAUUCAAGUGACAAGUGUGGAAGCAAUUGAAACAGCCAAACUUCUUGCCCUGAAAGAAGGAUUAUUGGUUGGAAUAUCAUCCGGAGCUGCUGCGGCCGCUGCUAUAAAAGUGGCAAAACGGCCAGAAAACGCUGGGAAGCUCAUAGUUGUGGUUUUCCCGAGUGGCGGGGAACGUUACUUAUCGACUCCAAUGUUCGACUCGAUCAGAUGUGAAGCAGAGAAUUUGGCAAUAGAAUGAGAGAGACUUAUCAUCCACUACUACUACUACUACUUAAUUCGGUUCGGUUAUGUAAUAAAGUAUCAAGAUACCGGUUUUCUCAUUUUUGACAACACAUAAGAAGUGUUGUUUGAUUUGAAAUGACGUAAUAUUGCUUCCAGAAUAAAUUAAGAAAAUUCUAGACA